GGCUGCUGCUGUGACCUUGCACCUACUCACUCCAGUUUGGAAGGUCGUCCUGUUCCUGGUUCUCAUCCUCGUGGGCAGGAACCCAGAGGGCUCCAGGACGCUCUCAGCUGCCCGGUGCCCCACCCAAUGCUGAGGCCAGGACCACGUGUGCACACAGGCAUCAUCCACCCCAGGAUUCUGCCCGACCCUCUCUACCUCUUCUCCCCACAUCAUUCAGUGCUGCUUCAGCCCUGGGAUCGGAGACACGGGACAUCAGUGAUGGGGCUCCUGGUCUGCUGCAUUGCUGCACCUCGGCCAUUUGUCAAGGAGCCUCUGUGCUGUCGUGGCACUGGGGACCUACAGUGAACCUACACAUCCCUUGUCCUCACGGGGGCUUCCUCCUAACGAAGGCAGAGACGGUGAACAGAUGUAAGUAAGACGGCUUCAGGGGCCCUGAGUGAAGGCUGCCACGCAGGGGACAGUGGACAGUCUCUGAGGAGAGGUCUGUCUCCUGCUGGGGGACGAACAACCCCGAGACUGAGCCCCCACAGCAGCCAAUGUUUAUUGUUUUGGUCUCUGUGGGUCAGGAGCCCAAGGGCAGCACAGCUGGGUGGCUCUGACUCAGGGCUCUCGAGGGGUCAGUCAGGAUGUCGGCAGGCGCUGCAUCGUCCCAGGCUGGAAAUCUAUGUCUCUGCUCCCAUGUGCGACUGGUGGCAGGAGGCGUCGGGUCCUCACCACGUGGGCCUCUCCAUAGGGCUGCUCACAGGCAGGGCAGCUGGCUUCCCGGGGAGAGAUGGAGAUGGAGAUCAAGGUGCACACGUGCACACGCAAGUGAGCCCACGUGCACACCAACACACACACACACCAACCCCGCCUGCUUUCCUCCUGCACGGCUGUGAUGAAAUGGAAAAGAAAACGAGGACAAGCACCCUCUCCCGCUGUUCCCAGGCCGCCCUUCCUCCCUGUGUGGGGCUCGCUUUCCUUCAGGCUUCCUGAGAAUGGCCUUGGAGAGUCGUCCUGCUGACAGAGAGCUGUCUGCACCUUGUCCCUGUCCCCUGGGGCAAAGAGACAGCACGAGUUUCUGCCAGCAAGUCCAUCACCUGCCAGCACACGGGGUGGUGUGAUGGGCACUGAUGCCCACUUGGAAUUGCUGGGUGGGCGUCCAGUGUCCUUCUAGAACAAGGGGUUUCCAUUCAGGCAGCUGGAACAUGCAUUGAUGGGAACUCCUGGGUUUAGGUCUUAUUUGCUGCUGGUGAGAACAUGGGGUGGGGGGGUUGGGUGCUGCCAGGGGAGGCCAGGGGGGUCCACCUGUGACAAUGGGCCUGCAUGUGUGAGGAGCAAAGUAGGGGCUCUCUCGCCCUGUUUAAAAUAAUAAUCCAUCACUUUCUUGGACAAUUGCUCAUUGUUUUCCUUUUUAAAACGGUGAUAUAUACACACAGAAGACACGGUAUAUAUGCAUACAUAUUUGUGUGUGUGUACAGUUUAAAGAUUCACGUAGUAUAGACAGGUAUAUUCACCACCCAAGUCAGUAGAUGGGACAUUUCCAGCAGCUCAGAGGCACUGUGUUCCUCCUGACAAAAGCCGCCCUCCCUGGAUGACUGGUGCUUGACUUCUGUGACAGUCGUGUCCCUGCUCGGCCUCAUAGUCUCACUCCCCAGGGGGCACCCUUAGCUGAGGCGUUGAGUUUUGCCCAUUUUUCUUCAUUCAUGUAGAUUGUGAUGUGCACCCUCUUUGGGGACUGGCUGCCUGGGCGACUCACUUGGCUGCUGGGGGUGCCCAGGAUGCGUGCAUUCCUGUGGCUGUUUAGUGUCCCUUGUGUGGAUGGGCCACAUUCAUGCACUGUCCUGUAGAGACACGCGGGCCUAUUCCAGCUCGGGGCUCUGGGCCGGGUCCCAUGCUUCACUGGCGUUUAUACCUGGGAGCAGAACUCCUGGGUCCAAAGGUGCUCUGACCUUCCUGGGCAGUGCCGCUGUCUUCUCUGAAAUGGAGCACGUGUGUACAGGUCCUGGGCUGAGUUCAGGCAGGGACAGCGUCCUCCAGGAGGAUCAGCGGCAGACCGGCCUGUGGGGUGGGGAGGGGCCGGCUGCUCAGAGAGGGAUGACCGGGGAUGCCUGGCCGAGGGUGUGGAGGGCGGUCAGCGGUGCCCCUGCGGUAGAGAAGCGGCUGCUAAGAGGGGCAAUGGCAGAUGUUAACUACCUGGAGUGAUCCAGGCAGGAGGAGGAGGGUGCAGGGCUUUAAGGCUGGGGGCAUCUGUCAGCUCGGUGGCCACAACAGAGUGCCAUAGAGGGGGACACCUGAACAUUUUCCCACAGUUCUGGAGGCUGUAAGCCCCAGAUCAGCGUCUGGCAGGGCGGGUUCCUGAGGGGACCCCUCCUCCAGGCAGGCGCCUUCUCCCCACGUCCUCUCCUGGUAGAGAGAGCUCUUCUGUCCCUUCCUCUUGUCAGGGCACUGGUCCUACCAAGUUUUGGCUCCACCCUUAUGGCCUGAGUUUUGUCAGAUAUAGGAUUCUUGGUUGGAUUCUUUUUCCUUCUGCACUUAGAGUACGUCAGCCCAUGCCCUCUGGCCUCCAAGGUUUCUGGUGAGGAAUCUGCUCCUGAUCUUACUGGGAAAAUAGGAGGAAAGGUCUCUUCCUCUCAGCUUUGUCAGCGUUAAUGAUGUCCCUUCUCAGGUCUCAUGCAACAGAACGUUUUCCUAUAGGAUUAUGACAGCCCUUCAGUGGUAGGAUCAUUUUGAGAGUAAUCAGAGUUUAAGGAAAAGGAGUUGAAUAUUUUAAGUGUGGAUGUUUUGAGGUAUUUAACAGCCAAAAAUUAUUAGAGAUUUUAAAAUUAGAAAUGAAAUGAAAAGGCCACUGAAGCAUCUUACAGGUUUUAAUUUCUAAUAAAGUAAAUAUCACUGUCUAAUAUCCUACAUACAUAAAAAGCUCUUUGCUGUCCUUUUUUUUUUUUUUUUUCACAGUAAUGGGUUCUUGAGACCAAAAAGGGAGCCAACCACUAUAGUUUAUCCCCAGCCAUGCCUGGUGCAUUUCCUGCUCUCACCUCAUAAGGAGCCACUGUGAUGGAAUUUACGAAAACCUGUUCUUUUCUCAUUUUUUAUUUUUCCUUGCUUUUUUUUGUUCUUUUUCACAUUUUAAAACAAUUUUUUAGUUAGUAUUGUUAUUACAGUUAGUAUAGUUAGUAUUGUUGGUGUAGUUAGUAGAGUUAGCAUCUUUGGUAUAGUUAGUGUUACUUAUUGGCAUAGUAAGUUAGCAAGCAUCAGUGGCCUUGUUAUUAUUGUUAGUCAGUAUUAGUUAGCAGACUAACAUUUUGUUUGUUGGCGUAGUUAGUAAGCAUAGUUAGCAUCAUUGGUUGGUAUUGUCAGUAAGUGUAGUUAUGAGGUCACCAUGCUUCCAG
rnacentral:lncRNA from 1 species